GACGAACGCUGGCGGCGUGCUUAACACAUGCAAGUCGAACGAAGUGGCGAACGGGUGAGUAACGCGUAAUCAACCUGCCCUUCAGAGGGGGACAACAGUUGGAAACGACUGCUAAUACCGCAUACUGAAGGAGGGGAUGGCGUCUGAUUGGCUAGUUGGAGGGGUAACGGCCAACCAAGGCGAUGAUCAGUAGCCGGUCUGAACGUGUGAACGGCCACAUUGGGACUGGUGCACGGCCCAGACUCCUACGGUAGGCAGCAGUUGGGAAUCUUCCGAAAUGGACGAAAGUCUGACGGUGCAACGCCGCGUGAGUGAUGACGGCCUUCGGGUUGUAAAGCUCUGUUAAUCGGGACGCGGUACCGGAAUAGAAAGCCACGGCUAACUACGUGCCAGCAGCCGCGGUAAUUC
rnacentral:rRNA from 1 species